UAUGACACAAUAAACGACGAAUUUCUGUUUGAAAGUGGUUUUGGUAAAAGUACCGUUACGCGACAGUACGACGUAGCCAUACCAUAUUUUGUGUUGGGUUUACAUUUUUAACAUUACAAUUUGUAAUUUAAUUUAAGCCAUUUAAAAUCGGUACUUUUAUACGAUAUUGUCUUCUCUUUCUUUUUCUGUUCUGAAAACUUGGUCGCGAAACAGGACAGAUCGGUGGCCUAUUUUUAGUUCCUGCGGGGCUGAAUGAGCGGCGAGCGAAGGAAAGGGGAGGGGGAGGAGCAUGGCACGAAAUGAUUUUUGCGCAGUGAUCGCGUACGGGUACCGCCUAUAGGCUCGAAGCGUAGCCAAUCACUGAGCAAUAUUAAUCCGUCGUCGUCAUUAUCUAAGCGAUCGCCGUAGAGUUCGAUAACGUUCACUGACCAUUAUCUGGUACGCAGUAGAGUGCGCGUUGUACGAGAAUUUACUGAAAGCUUUAAUUUUUCUAUCUAGAAAAUUAACUUAUUAAGUUUCUAUAAAAAGAAAUUGAUUUAACGUGGACAGAUAUUUUAUACAUAAACGUUUAUAAAAUGAAAAGAUAUCCGUACGCGUAUUAGCUUUGGGUAAAUAAUUCUAACCUAAAAAUUUGUACAAUAAUAGAUAGGGUAACGCAGUGACAGGACAGAAAAUUAUUCUACAUAUAAAGCGCGAAGAGUGAAUGAAUGAAGCGACUGCUAGAAUGGAAGCAGCGAAUGCUGCAAUCGCCGUUAACCCGGAAAGCAGAGGUGUCGAGCUAUUACAAGCAGGAGGUGCUGCUCGAGCUCGCUGCUCACGAGGUUUCUGUCGGUAGAAGAUCGUCACUCACGGCGAAGUAAGGACGGUCAUCAGCAACAUGUCUGCAGCAAGAGCACCGACGGCCGCCGGACUGUCGCCAACGUUUCGCGAUACAACAACUACUGCGACGACGAAGGUAAGGACACCUCGCCUGAACUUGUUACCUGAGUUAUGGCUUCUCCCAUACGGGCCGUUCUUGGGACCAUUUUUCUCUCAGUACGCGUAUAAACUUCUUGAGAAUGUUCGAUUAUACUUUGUACGUUGAUUUUGUAUAAUUCCGUAAAUUACUUUGGGGCCAAGUUUUGCGAUUAACCAGAAAAUUGUUCGGCCUGUUUUAUUACCAAAAUUAGGUCGUAUACCUGUUGAAAGAUCGUUUUAACGCUCAGUUUGCUAGUUGCAUCGUAAAGAAUAUAUCGAGUUAAGAAUUUUUCAAAGAUUUAUACACAAUUUUGCACAAAUAUGCCCACGAACGUGCCGCGUCUACCUACUGAAAGAAUUCCAAGUGGAUAAUUGAACUGUACCAAGUACGAUAUCAAACUCUAACCAGUAUAACCGCCCUAACAUGUUCGACGCACUCACGCGUGUGUUUUACGAAAUAAACCUUGAAACGAAUACAACGCUUCUAUAUCGUGUUGCACGAGUCGAUAGUAUCGCGUUAGAGAUACGUUAGCGGAGAACGAGCGGAGACGCUAAUUGCGCAUGAAACCAACGAUUUAUACUUCUUCUACGAACCAGUUUUCGGAUAAAAUGCUUCGAAUCAAUUUGAGAGUCGAAUUAAUCUGUGUGUAUCACGAAUCCUGUUACACUUUCAUUAAAAUUACUUUAAUCAUCUUCUUGAAACUAGCAAAAGUACGAACGCACGAACGAAUCGAAAUGAAACGAGAAAAAGAAGCGCAUAUGUUUUAGCGACAUUUCGUGAUCGAGACUUGAAAAUUUCCUCGUCUCUUAUCUUCUCUAGCUGUUCUUCUCUCUAUCGCCAAGUUGCCCCUCGUCAAGAGGUAGAUCAAAUUUGUAGGUAGCAAGGAACUUUAAGAAAAGUGAAAGGAAACCGAAAAAUAGACACAAAAAGAUAGAAAAAGGGGCGUAGGAAAAGAGCGGAAUCUGCAAACAUUUUCUCCGUGGAGCUCCUUCUCUUUGUUACUGUUGGGUUUGGGCUGAUUGGUGAAUGGGAACGAUUAACAGCUUUGGAAUUUAACUAGCGAAACCGGCCGUUACGACUUAACGCUCGUACUAUAGCCGUACUAUCUUGCAAAAUAUGGGUCAGCAUGGCAUGUCGGGAAUUAUAUCGUUAACGCUAUCGUAGAGGCGUUCGACUGUUUUCGUCGUCUAAUUUCCAGCUCGUAAUACGUGUUUUUGCCGUCGAGCGAUCGAGAACAAGAUAGCAACAAAUCCGUGAAGGAUCUGCUGGCGGAUUUAAAGAGGAAGUUUCGACAGAUUCAAAGACAAGAAUACCGUAGGCACCAGGAAAUGAAACACCGUGGAGUGUUCAGCGGCUUGGAGGCUUUGCUGUGCGAUAAGGGCAGCGAUCUGGAUCAGCGCGAGAAAAACGAAGACGCGCAGAACGAGAGGACUCUAAGAGGAGAUCGAUCAAGUUGUACCUGAGCCUAUCAACGACCAUAGAAUGUACACCGACACGACGAAGAAGAAGGAGGAUGUCUCCUUUAGAUGCACCGAGGAAUUCACCGGCGAUUCUAUCGGACAACCAAUCGCGAGACAAUUCGCACGGUCUUCAGAGAGGAUCUCAAAAUAAUCUGCUUACGGCUUCUCAUAGCAGAGACUCUAGUUACUCUGUGGCCUCUGGAACCGCUUCGAUCUCGACUUCUGUGGCUUGUCAGAGAGUUGCCAGCGCCCGGUCCUCCAUGCACUCUCCUAUGGGUUUGAUGUCCUUAGGAAAUCAGGGAAUUAGGGAAUUGUUUGGUCGGCAACAUGCUGCAAAACGCGAGUCCGGUCUACGGUUUCAAAGUCAUUCGAGGUAGGCCAGUCAGGAUUCCAGUCACUAUCAAACUUCGACGUCUACGGUUAAGGCAAAUAUCGCGCCUCGAUCGUAUCUGCUAGGUGAGCCACAUCUACAGAACGAGCAGUCAGGCGGUCCUUACUACUACUCCGAUCUCCUUGUCCUGUUUUUGCAAUCAGGUUUUCAGGACAGAAGUGUGACAGGAAGUGUAAACCUAAAAAAAAAAUGUAAUAUUGCACGGCUAUGUCGUACCGUCGUGUAUCGGUACUUUUGCCUGGACCACCUCACAACCGAAUUCAUCGUUUAUAAUGGUAUAUAAUCACAUAUGUAAUACACAAAAAUUGGUACAAAAAAACACUAUUAAAGAAAUACUCCGAUCUCCAAGGUAGCGUAAACGCCGUAGACACCUUCGAGUCGAUGAAGUCGAUCGGUCAUUCUUCCAGAUUGCCUUAACUAAACAAUCAAAGAGACGACGCUUCCGUGUUAAACAAAAGGAACGAUAUAGGACGUAUCUUGAAUCCAAUUUCCAGGCAAAUGCCCAGACACGUUCAAGUGAAUGACUGGCCAAUUUUUGAGCGACUACAAAGUCGAUCUCGUGGACAAGAAGAACUUUUGCGAAGCCGAUACUCUGAGGAGUGUAAAAUCUACCGAUCCUCUGCCUGAUAUCUCGUCGGCAGAGAUUAGCACGAGGAAUCUGUAUCCGCAUGGCCUCUCGCGAUAAGUCGAACAAUCAGUCGAACAGCCGAAACACGUUCGAGUUGGUGCUUGAAACGCAGACGUCCCAUCGAAGGUCUAGGCCUUUGGAGGGCUUUUGGGACGACGUCGGACUUCAAAAUCUGGCAGAACAGAGGAACAGAAACAACCGAGUAGCAACGGUUCCGCCUACUCAGGUUGCGGAAGAAGCGUCGCAGGACGUGUGUGACAUCGAUAGCGGUUCUACGUCGAACAGUUUCAACGUCGAUGACCCCUGGGAGCAGGACUCCUUAUGGAGAGAAAGUCUCUCUAUGUUUGCUUCGCGUAAUCCUUCGCACUUCGCAGCUGGGGGCAGACUGAAUCUCUUUUAUUCAAAAGCCACGCCGAUUCUUUUCUUUGUUGGCCAUCGAUAUCGUGCGCGUUUGUUAGAAGUCCGCGACGGUUGCCGCGUUGCGUUCUCCCGAAGAUUCGGCGAAAGAACCGUAGGGAUAUCGAUGGCACAUUAGGCUUGUCGGCAUAGCGCUUUAAAGAUAAAACGCUUUGUGCCGUUGGAAAUUUCCGAGGUCGAGUGCCGCCACAAUAUAAACCGACAUUAACAACAAAGAUCGAUAUAUCAAACGCAUAGACAGAAAUAAUCAACGUGCUCCAAAAAACUAACAGAAGCAAAGUAUCGUUAUCCGAAUGGAACAACAGCAUCAGAUGUGUCGUCUAGUUACCCAAACCCAUCGUCUAGUUAUUCAAAGCACAAUCGAAUCCAUGCACGACGCACAAUUAUCAAGCGGACAGCCAACCGUAGCAGCGACGGCGAAACGGCGACGGCGAUGAUAGUGGCAACGGCAGCAGCAGACCGGUAAACAAUCGAAAUAUCAGGACUUUUAUUCGCUGUGGAAAGCUGCCGCCCUUCCCAGCCAUUGAAACCUAGUUGGAAUACCCAUGCACGCGAGCACAUACACGGACAGAUCGGACCAGAGGUUGCACACGGCACGACACUCGCCAUUCAGUCAGUCGGCCGAUAUCGUUCCGGACGACACCACGCGUCAUUCUCUCGCCUCGCUACUCCAAUCCACUCUCCGUGUGGAUCGAGAUCUACCGCGAGCUUCACCGCAAUCUACGAAGUUCAGUUUUGCGUAAUUCUUUCUUUAUUCUUUCCCAUCUUCUUCUUCCGAAGGAUUUUUCGUUUUGGAACAGUUUAUAGGUAGUUUUGUGAGUUCCGAGAACCUUGCCUUUUGGCAAUCUGUGAAUGUUGGUAGGUUUUCCAACAGAUAUAUACGAACAGUUUUGGAAUUUUAUUGAUUCUUUUUUGAAAACAGUAAGAGAUUGUCUUUCUCUUUAAAGGUUUAUUUUGCUGCGUAUUAUGAUUAUCGAAAGGCUGCAUCGAAUAGACAUAAAUAAUUUCUAUGGUAAAUUUGUUAUCUAAACAUCGAUCUAAACCUAGACCUUCGUAAAAAUUUCAUCUUUCCGCUUUGAUGCGAUCAGAGCUACACUUUGUCGAUUAAAAGCGACGUAAUUAUUGAAAUUAAUGAAAUACGCGUAUGAUGGAAAUGCUGGGUCCGAGGAAUGUUACGUCUCGUUUAGAAAUUCGAUUGAAAACCGAUUGAAAAGCGCUGAAAAUCCAACUGAAUCGGGAUUAUUUACAGGAUAUCGAUGAAACGCCUUCGAACAACGUCGGCAACGUUUAUUUACGAACUACUAACGAUGCAUUUGAACGACGAACGUUAAACCGCCUGAAUUCGGUUUUUUAAAAACAGUACUAGCGACAUCGCAAAUUUUAUUCCGAUCACCAUCGAUUUUAAUCGCUAUUUGGUUAUAGUUUAGAUGAAAUAUAAGAAAAUGGAAAUUAAUCUCAACGAUCGGAGAGUGAAAUUCUCUUUUUUCAUACAUUGUCCAUCUUUUAGGAAUAUUUUAUUCGUUGCAGAGUUUUAAUAUAUUCCGAACUUGGGUUUCUCAAGAUACCAGCGCGGUUAAUUUGCCAAAUUUCUUGUCUUUCUUUUCUUCGAGUUACCUGACAUCGUCCGUUGUGAUUAUUAGCCAGCGACCUACAGUUUUGCUGGAUUGCAGUUUUAAAUCUUAGACUCGCUAGCACGGGUGAACGUUAGUGUUGUUUCUUUUAAGUUCGAUAUUCUUCUAUCAUCUAAAAUGCUGUAAUUAUUAAGUUCAAAGUUCUUGUAUGAAAACUUUAACGUUGAACUGAAAGAAGUGCACGAUGUUCGUUGCUAACUUUAUUUAACAGAACUUUAAAUUUUAAACGUUCGUUCGAGGAAUUCCUAAGAAUAAAGAAAUUAAAAAGAUAAAAAAGUUUGAGUUUAAACAUUUCCUAAUACGAAAAAUUAACUAAAAAGAGAAACAUCCUUUCGACAAAAGAUACAAGAUCGUUAUAUUUGAAAAGAAGAAACUAAACAACGUGAGGUUUCGAAGAGUUCAAUAACAACGGGAUACAAUGAGAAAAUUGGACGAAAAUUAGACGUGUCAACGAGGAAGGACGAAUUUCGUGCAAUAAACCCGUCGCCAAAGAAUCAUUCGUGGCUAGGAGAUAGCAGCGUAAUAAAACGAGGAAGCAAGUUAAAAAGUUCUUCCGCGAAAUUAUAUUGAAUCUCUGGGAGAGAGGUGAGCGAACUCCGGCACGCGUAACAACGUAACAAGCGUUGUAGGCGCACGCACGACUUUGAUCGAUAAGUCGAUUAAGAGUUGCAACGCAUUAUAUACGGAGAUGCUUAAUUUCGAUUCGGCCCGCGCAUGCGCUUGCCCUUGUACAGUAUGAACGAGUAGAGCGCUAUUAGAAAAUGUUUUUGUCAUAAAGUAAAUUAUGCUGGCAUCGAUUCUCUGUUUUCCCCUUGUUGCUCCUUCGAUAGUUAGAUAUUUUUCGUUAACCGAGCAAAUCUGAUAUUCGUUUAGUAAUCUUGAUAAGUUUUCCGAUUUUAGCGUAUAUUGGGAUUUGAAACAACAGACUUCAAAGUUUCAAUCUAUUACGAAGUAAAAUUAACGGGAACUAAGUUACUAGGUACUACUUAGUUGGGAACUAAGAUUAGAAAUCUGUUUCAAACUGCAAUGCUCGCGCAUUCGCUUUUAAAAUAUUCGAAUAAAAGAAAAUGUCCAUUUUCAUUAGACGGCGCAAGAAAGUCGGAUACCUUCUUCAUAUUUCAAAGCAAAUAUCGAUAAACAUGCAGUUAAUAAAUUUUGUUUCUGGUCUUACUUUCGUUGAGGUUUAUUUUAGCAAAUUUAUUGAAAAUUUUCCUAUCUACGAUACGGGGAAUUUGUGAAAAUAGCGGAUAGCGACAAAUUAUUUGCGUUGUCAAGCGAUAUAAACAGUGAUACUGAUAUAACUCCUCGUAAAGACGAUGUUGAAUUUAGUAAAAAUCGAUUAUUUCGUCGGGUUCGUCAAGAAUCGUCAAGUCGUAGAAUUUGUAACUUCUUUCAUAUGUAUAUAAAAAGAAUUGGGGAACAAUAUACACCGAUGAUAUUCUUUGUUCAGCCAUGUGGUAUCCUCAGGUAUUGGCCACGGCAAAUUUUAAUAGAGAAAUAAUGCUUUGGAGAUUAGAAAUGGGUCAACCGUAUCGAAAAUAUAAAGUUAACGAACCAAUGUCAAGAUAAGAUCUAGAAUAAUAUGAGAAAUGUUAAAAUAAUAUAAAAAUUACAUUUCUAGAAAUAACGUGCUGUAAUAAGCAAUCUUAACUAAUCAGUGUUAUAUGGAUUUAGGAUAAGAUACCACAAAGAUGAAAUAACGUAUAAAAUAAAAAAACCUGAACAAGUUACGAAAGAAUUCAUUUCGAAACAUGGUAUUGCAAUUGUACUUUUCUAAAACAGAUUUUAAUCAUAAUGAUAAAUGUUUAUGAGCUAUGAUAUUUUUAAAUGCUCGGACGGUUAGGCCUGAUGUUGGAACAUUGUUAGUUUCUCUUGAUUCAGGAUAUGUACAAGUGUGGACUCAUCACCCGGAUUUCUACAAGCUUUCUCAGUUAUUCGUUCUAUACGUGAUUGUGCAUUAGCAUUAGUAACUGAUCCUAAAAAUCAUUUUAUUGUAACAGGUAAAAAAGGAAAGCAUUUAAUUUCUACAACAUUAUUUAUUUAUUAUAAGAUUACUUUUUGUAUGUAACGAGAUACUUCAUUGCGACAAAACAUUUAAUAUAAAAGGAAAGAUAAAGCCAGAAAAUAUGAUGAGAGAGUAAGACCACUUAAAAAAAUUUAGGGCACAAUUCUGGAUACAUUAAAGUUUGGUAUCUCGCGAAUUAUUACACAAUAGUGAUAACAAGUCAAAUCUAAUAAAAUUUACUUUUCAUUAAAAAAUCGUACCAGAACAAUUAUUUAUUAAUUCUUAAUUAAUAAACGCUCUUCUUCUUUUCUUCUUUCUCCCUUUUCCUGCGAAUUAAUCCAACUGUAGUUUAAUUUUCUAUACUAUAUAAAAAUCAAUAUCUUUUUCGGUAUCCUUAUUUUUGUACACAUUCAUCUUUUAAAUUAUCAAUUUUAUACCCGAGCUCGUUGUAAUUGAGCUAGACGUUUCUUCUUCCGUUUUUGGCGCUGUCUCUCUUGCAUUUGUUUUGCUAAAUGUGAUUUUUGUGCUAAUUUAUGUGCAAUCGCUUUCUCUGCAAUGUUUGCAUUUUUCAAAGCUUUUGUUUGUGCAAUAGCUCGAGUAUUUUGUUCUCGUGUUUUUGUUCUAGUUAUUCUAGUUGAGCAAGUUUCGAAGUGUUCGUGCCUACCUGUUCAAAUGCUACAAUUUUUUCCUUUACUGAUACCUUGGCAUAUGGAUCGAAUAGAGCAUUCGAUUUAUACGUAUUCUUUUUUAUCUAAAAUUCAGUAACUGAAUCCUUCUCCUCCGAAGAUGGUUGUAUUUCAUCUUCGCCCAAUAUCAUAGAUCUGUUCUGCCGCUUUUUAAUUUCUUGUUUCUUAAUAUUUGCUUGAAACUGUUUCAUUUCAGAGGAUGACUCAUCUUCUUCUUUUAGCUGCUGCAUCUUUGUGUUUGCACCCCGUGAAAAAAUUCUCCUUCUAUUACUAUUUCUUGUUGUCAUUGAAGACAUUUCUGGCUGUAUUGCAUCUUCUCUUAUAGAAAGAUGAUCCUGUGAAUGUGUCUGUGAAGUAUCCGCGAUUUUCCUUGAAAUCAAACAAAGAAAUAAGUAAUAAAGAAGAAAUAACACAAGGCCCUACAAAAUAUAGUAUGUUUUGUACUAGUUACUAUGUUUUGUAGGGCCUUGCGUUAUUUCUUCUUCUAAACUACUUCUAGCACUUUUACUUUUUUUAGAUCGGCUUUCACGUUUCCUCUAAAAAUUUAGAAUAUAUUUAACAACGUUACAAUAGAAUUUAUAUACACAAUGUACAUACAUUAAGCAAUUAGAUUUCAACAUAUUAAUUAACCGAUAUCAAGCAUUAUUGGGUACUAUAUAUAAAGGCUAGUAUUGAUUAGUAACAUAAGAUUUGGGAUAAGAUUAAAAGUAUUAAAUUUCAUCAUAAUAUGAUACAAACAUUUAUAUUACUGUCAAGAGUUAACAGCCCUCGUAAUUUUGCAGCGACUGACAUUGACCGCUGCUUUUUAAUGUUAGCUGUAGCUUUCCUUGAAGCCUCUCUUUUUGCUCGGCCAAUUGUUGUUUCUACCACAUUCCCAGUUUUUAUAUUUUUAUUUUCUGCUUUAUCAUGUAUCGCAGUAGAAUCUGAUACUGUAUUAUCAAUAUUGAUAAUAUCAUUUUCUGGGAUAAUUUCUGGGAAACUUUCGGCGUAGUUGAAGUUGAAGGACCAGGUUGUGGUGUUUGAGCAAUUGAACCAUGUAAUGAAUCCAAAGUAUCUUCAAAAUGGUCGUUAACAGAUUUUUUAAUACCCAAGCAAUAUAUAUUCAAUAUAACUUUAGUAAUCAGUGCUUUAAUCCGACUCUUUGAUCUAGUAUCCAUAUUUAAAAUCUACAAGUAAAUUCUUUAUAAGUAUUUAAUAUAUACAUUAAACUAUACUUUUUAAUAAUACAUACCAUAAUUUAAUACUAUGCUUGAAAUUAUGACAUAUAUAACAAUUAAUAUAAACAAAUUGUGUUUACUUCUAUUAACUUAGAAGCAUAUGUAAAUUAUUUUUCAAAAGAAAAAUAUACAUAUGAAACAAUAAUAAAAUAAUGAAGUAACGUUGAGAAUAGAAUCUAGUUUAAUUACACACAUAUACGCUUUUAACAACUCCAUUCUUAUCAGUUUUAUUAAAUUUAUGGUGAAGUUUACAAUUACACUAAUAUCAAUGAAUAUUAACGUAUAUGUUUAUUAUUACACUGAAUAAAAAUGAAAAUACUGUAAUGGAAAAUACAAUAUACUUUAAUGGAAAUAAAAUAAGUAAAUAGCGAAACAUUUAUUAAUAUUAUAUUAUAUAUAUAUUAGUAUUAUAUUGUUAUAAUAUUUAUUAAUAUUUACUUACCUUUUACGUUUGCAUAAAAACUACAAAAUUGUAGAUAUAAACUUUAAUAACUGAGAUAAAACAAGUCACAGAAAUUAGUAUCUUUCAAUGGCAAAAUGCGUUAAAGGAAGUGUCACAAGCGAGACUGUGCCAGUUUUCCUCCUUGAAAGUACAUGCAGCGACACAUAAGUUAGAG